GUCGUAACAAGGUUUCCGUAGGUGAACCUGCGGAAGGAUCAUUACUGAAUUGUCAAACGGGUUGUUGCUGGCCCUCAUAGGGGGCAUGUGCACGCUCUGUUUACACAUCCACUCACACCUGUGCACCCUCUGUAGUUCUAUGGUCUGGGGGACCCUGUCUUCCUUCUGUGGUUCUACGUCUUUACACACACACUGUAAUAAAGUUUUAUGGAAUGUACAUCGCGUCUAACGCAAUACAAUACAACUUUCAGCAACGGAUCUCUUGGCUCUCGCAUCGAUGAAGAACGCAGCGAAAUGCGAUAAGUAAUGUGAAUUGCAGAAUUCAGUGAAUCAUCGAAUCUUUGAACGCACCUUGCGCCCCUUGGCUAUUCCGAGGGGCAUGCCUGUUUGAGUAUCAUGAACACCUCAACUCUCAUGGUUUGCCAUGAUGAGUUGGACUCUGGGGGUUUUGCUGGCCUGUGGUCGGCUCCUCUCAAAUUAAUCAGCCUCCCAGUGUUUGGUGGCAUCACGGGUGUGAUAAAUAUCUACGCUCGCUGUUGUCUGCCAGGUAACCUUUGGUCACAAAGGUUUGCUGGAGCUCACAGAUGUCUCUCCUCAGCGAGGACAGCUUUUUUAACGUUCGAUCUCAAAUCAGGUAGGACUACCCGCUGACUUA
rnacentral:rRNA from 1 species